rnacentral:rRNA from 1 species
UGGGGGAUAACGUCCGGAAACGGACGCUAAUACCGCAUACGUCCUACGGGAGAAAGCANGGGACCUUCGGGCCUUGCGCUAUCAGAUGAGCCUAGGUCGGAUUAGCUAGUUGGUGGGGUAAUGGCUCACCAAGGCGACGAUCCGUAACUGGUCUGAGAGGAUGAUCAGUCACNCUGGAACUGAGACACGGUCCAGACUCCUACGGGAGGCAGCAGUGGGGAAUAUUGGACAAUGGGCGAAAGCCUGAUCCAGCCAUGCCNCGUGUGUGAAGAAGGUCUUCGGAUUGUAAAGCACUUUAAGUUGNGAGGAAGGGCANUAAAUUAAUACUUUGCUGUUUUGACGUUACCGACAGAAUAAGCACCGGCUAACUCUGUGCCAGCAGCCGCGGUAAUACAGAGGGUGCAAGCGUUAAUCGGAAUUACUGGGCGUAAAGCGCGCGUAGGUGGUUCGUUAAGUUGGAUGUGAAAUCCCCGGGCUCAACCUGGGAACUGCAUUCAAAACUGACGAGCUAGAGUAUGGUAGAGGGUGGUGGAAUUUCCUGUGUAGCGGUGAAAUGCGUA